AGCAGGGCCCUGGGGCCAGAAUGCUUGUCUUGAUCUCCACCUCUGCUACCUACCAACGAUGACUUCGGCGAUGCUGAAUGAGUGGUGGUCAUCUGCAGAGAGGUCUGGCUGGAGAUACAAAUACAGCAGUCCUUGACAGGUGGACAGCACACAGAGCAAAGACCAUGGAAGGGAUGAGCUGGGAGCAGGCGCUGGGCUGAGCCCAGAGCACUAGAGCUGAAGAGGGAGGAGGAGGCAGCCCAGGAGCCUGAGGAGGAGCCCGUGGGAAGUGAACUGGAAGCAGGCACAUGGAAGAGACUGUACACAUGGAAGAGAGUGGUGGAUCCUGUUCACUUUCAGGUUUGUCCCAUGUCCAGAGACCAUGAAUGUCACUCUUCUCUCAUCAAGGGAAGAAAGCCAAGCGCUUCAGAGGCAGGAAGGGCUCGGGGACCUCCAGACCAGGAACUGGCUUUACAGGCUCUUCCACUGACAGGCUUCCAACCCUGGCAACAUCCUAAGCUUUUCUAAGCCUCAGUUCCCUCAACUAGAGAAUGAGGAUGCCACCUCCUAGCAGACACGGUUGUGGGGGAUUCAUGAAAGAAUGGGGACAAAGUGACUGGCACAGAGUGGUGAUCAAUAAGGCAGUUCCUAGUCA